rnacentral:rRNA from 1 species
GUUGACCUCGGAUCAGGUAGGAAUACCCGCUGAACUUAAGCAUAUUAAUAAAGCGG